rnacentral:rRNA from 1 species
UACGUAGGGUGCGAGCGUUAAUCGGAAUUACUGGGCGUAAAGUGUGCGCAGGCGGCAGAGCAAGUCGAGUGUGAAAGCCCCGGGCUUAACUUGGGAAUUGCGCUCGAAACUACUUUACUGGAGUGUGGCAGAGGAAGGUGGAAUUCCACGUGUAGCGGUGAAAUGCGUAGAGAUGUGGAGGAACACCAAUGGCGAAGGCAGCCUUCUGGGCCAACACUGACGCUCAUGCACGAAAGCGUGGGGAGCAAACAGG